UACGUAGGGGGCUAGCGUUGUCCGGAAUCAUUGGGCGUAAAGCGCGCGUAGGCGGCCCGGUAAGUCCGCUGUAAAAGUCAAAGGCUCAACCUUUGAAUGUCAGUGGAUACUGCCGGGCUAGAGUCCGGAAGAGGCGAGUGGAACUCCUGGUGUAGCGGUGGAAUGCGCAGAUAUCAGGAGGAACACCUGUGGUGUAGACGGCUUACUGGACUAUAACUGACGCUGAGGAACGAAAGCGUGGGUAGCAAACAGG
rnacentral:rRNA from 1 species